GGUGUACGUGUUCAACCUUCCCUAUGAUGUCAGCAGCGAGCGCCGAGCGCAGCUCUUCGAUCAGGCCGGUGUCGUUGAGGUUGCCGAGGCCAGCGCCGUCGAGGUUAUCGUGGUGAGCAGCUCUUCCUCUUAGACCAUCUUCAGUGCUGGAUGAUAGUUUCACAGUUGAUAUGUGGCAUCGGUGACAAAAGAUGCAUCAAGUUUGCACAAGGUGGCAAAUCCAACAAUUUAUGUACUGUAUUUGCAUUUUGCAAGAUAAUUUGGCUGCCAAAGUGCCACAUCGUAUCUCACUAGACC